rnacentral:tRNA from 1 species
GGGGUUGUGGCUCAGUGGUAGAGUGCUUGCCUACUGUGCAUGAGGCAUUGGGUUUAAUACUCAGUACCA